rnacentral:rRNA from 1 species
GAUGAACGCUGGCGGCGUGCCUAAUACAUGCAAGUCGAGCGAACAGACGAGGAGCUUGCUCCUCUGACGCUAGCGGCGGACGGGUAAGUAACACGUGGAUAACCUACCUAUAAGACUGGGAUAACUUCGGGAAACCGGAGCUAAUACCGGAUAAUAUAUUGAACCGCAUGGUUCAAUAGUGAAAGACGGUUUUGCUGUCACUUAUAGAUGGAUCCGCGCCGCAUUAGCUAGUUGGUAAGGUAACGGCUUACCAAGGCGACGAUGCGUAGCCGACCUGAGAGGGUGAUCGGCCACACUGGAACUGAGACACGGUCCAGACUCCUACGGGAGGCAGCAGUAGGGAAUCUUCCGCAAUGGGCGAAAGCCUGACGGAGCAACGCCGCGUGAGUGAUGAAGGUCUUCGGAUCGUAAAACUCUGUUAUUAGGGAAGAACAAAUGUGUAAGUAACUAUGCACGUCUUGACGGUACCUAAUCAGAAAGCCACGGCUAACUACGUG